rnacentral:tRNA from 1 species
GGAGAGUUGGGUGAGCGGUUGAAACCGGACGCCUCGAAAGCGUCUAGACCUUUACCGGUCUCGGGGGUUCGAAUCCUCCACUCUCCGCCA